AACGCACAUUGCGCCCGCCAGUAUUCUGGCGGGCAUGCCUGUUCGAGCGUCAUUUCAACCAUCAAGCCCCUGCGCUUGUGUUGGAGCCCUGCGGCUGCCGCAGGCUCCCAAACCCAGUGGCGGGCUCGUCGUCGUACCGAGUGCAGUAAACUUACCACGCUCAGGGCACGCGACGGGUGACCGGCCGUAAAACCCCCCACUUUCUCAAGGUUGACCUCGGAUCAGGUAGGAAUACCCGCUGAACUUAA
rnacentral:misc_RNA from 1 species